UUGGCACUAAGAGCCGAAGAAGGACGUGGUAAGCUGCGAAAAGCUACGGGAAGCUGCAAGCAAGCAUUGAUCCGUAGAUGUCCGAAUGGGGAAACCCGGCUGUUUUAAUAGACAGUCAUCCUUAACUGAAUACAUAGGUUAAGGAAGGUAUACGUGGGGAACUGAAACAUCUAAGUACCCACAGGAAGAGAAAGAAAUAUCGAUUUCCUAAGUAGCGGCGAGCGAACGGGAAAGAGCCCAAACCAACGACUACGGUUGUUGGGGUUGUGGAUAGGAACACAAGCGAUGGAGGUAUCUUAGUCGAAGAGGUCUGGAAAGGCCCACCAUAGACGGUGACAGUCCGGUAGACGAAAAGAGAAGACCCGCGUUCCUACUCCAGAGUACCACGGAGCACGUGAAACUUUGUGGGAAGCUGGGAGGACCAUCUCCCAAGGCUAAAUACUUCUUAGUGACCGAUAGUGAAUAGUACCGUGAGGGAAAGGUGAAAAGAACCCCGGAAGGGGAGUGAAAUAGAACCUGAAACCCUAUGUUUACAAGCAAUGGAAGCACUUUAUACGUGCGACCAUGUACUUUUUGUAGAACGGGCCAACGAGUUACGUUAUGCAGCAAGGUUAAGGUGUUCAGCACUGGAGCCGUAGGGAAACCGAGUCUGAAUAGGGCGCAAGAGUUGUAUGGCGUAGACCCGAAACCGGGUGACCUAUCCAUGAGCAGGUUGAAGCUGAAGUAAAAUUUAGUGGAGGACCGAACCCAUGUCUGUUGAAAAAGGCUGGGAUGACUUGUGGAUAGCGGAGAAAUUCCAAUCGAACCCGGAGAUAGCUGGUUCUCCCCGAAAUAGCUUUAGGGCUAGCCUUGAAUGAUGAGUAACGGAGGUAGAGCACUGACUACCCUAGGGCCUUUCACCGGGUACCGAAGGUUAUCAAACUCCGAAUGCCGUAUACUUUAAUUCAGGAGUCAGACUGUGUAUGAUAAGAUUCAUAGUCGAGAGGGAAACAGCCCAGACCAUCAGCUAAGGUCCCCAAGUAUAGAUUAAGUGGGAAAGGAUGUGGGGUUGCACAGACAACUAGGAUGUUGGCUUAGAAGCAGCCAUUCAUUUAAAGAGUGCGUAAUAGCUCACUAGUCGAGUGACCCUGCGCCGAAAAUUACCGGGGCUAAAAUCUAUCACCGAAGCUAUGGCAUUAUACAUAUGUAUAAUGGGUAGGGGAGCAUUGUGUACGGGCUGAAGCUACACCGUGAGGAGUGGUGGACUGUACAGAAGAGAGAAUGUUGGCAUGAGUAGCGCAAGGCGGGUGAGAAUCCCGCCGGCCGAAUGUCUAAGGUUUCCUGAGGAAGGAUCGUCCUCUCAGGGUUAGUCGGGUCCUAAGCCGAGGCUGAAAAGCGUAGGCGAUGGAUAACGGGUUAAGAUUCCCGUACCACCGAGAUUUGUUUGAGAGAUGGAGUGACACAGAAGGAUAGGUCAUCACACCGUUGGUUGUGUGUGUCCAAGCAGUUAGGGAGUUAGAGUAGGCAAAUCCGCUUUAACAAUUCUGAGCUGUGAUGGGGAGCGAAAAAUAAGUAGCGAACUGAUUGAUUCCACACUGUCGAGAAAAGCUUCUAUCGAGAAUUAAGGUGCCCGUACCGAAAACCGACACAGGUGGACAGGUAGAGAAUACUAAGGCUAGCGAGAGAACCAUUGUUAAGGAACUCGGCAAAAUGACCCCGUAACUUCGGGAGAAGGGGUGCCGCAUUAGGGUGUAUGCCCGACGCGGCCGCAGAGAACAGGCCCAAGCGACUGUUUAGCAAAAACACAGGUCUCUGCUAAAUCGAAAGAUGACGUAUAGGGGCUGACGCCUGCCCGGUGCUGGAAGGUUAAGAGGACGUGUUAGCGUAAGCGAAGCUCUGAAUUGAAGCCCCAGUAAACGGCGGCCGUAACUAUAACGGUCCUAAGGUAGCGAAAUUCCUUGUCGGGUAAGUUCCGACCCGCACGAAAGGCGUAACGAUUUGGGCGCUGUCUCAACAAUGGACUCGGUGAAAUUGUAGUACCGGUAAAGAUGCCGGUUACCCGCAGCAGGACGGAAAGACCCCGUGGAGCUUUACUGUAGCUUGGCACUGGACUUUGAUAUAUCAUGUACAGAAUAGGUGGGAGACUUGGAAACGUGGACGCCAGUUUGCGUGGAGUCAUCUUUGGGAUACCACUCUUGUUAUAUCAGUGUUCUAACCGUGCGCCGUGAAUCCGG
rnacentral:rRNA from 1 species